rnacentral:rRNA from 1 species
UGCCAGCCGCCGCGGUAAUACGAAAGGUGCGAGCGUUAAUCGGAAUUACUGGGCGUAAAGCGCGCGUAGGCGGUUUGCUAAGUCAGAUGUGAAAGCCCCGGGCUCAACCUGGGAACUGCAUUUGAAACUGGCAGGCUAGAAUGCAGUAGAGGGAGGUGGAAUUUCCGGUGUAGCGGUGAAAUGCGUAGAGAUCGGAAGGAACACCAGUGGCGAAGGCGGCCUCCUGGACUGACAUUGACGCUGAGGUGCGAAAGCGUGGGGAGCAAACAGGAUUAGAUA